ACUCUUCUGGGACAAGUUCAAG
rnacentral:snRNA from 1 species